rnacentral:rRNA from 1 species
UGGGGGAUAUUGCACAAUGGGCGCAAGCCUGAUGCAGCGACGCCGCGUGGGGGAUGAAGGCCUUCGGGUUGUAAACUUCUUUUGCUCUGAACAAGGCGCACUUUGGGGUGUGUUGAGUGUAGGGGUUGAUUAGCGCCGGCUAACUACGUGCCAGCAGCCGCGGUAAUACGUAGGGCGCGAGCGUGGUCCGGAAUUAUUGGGCGUAAAGGGCUUGUAGGUGGCUGGUUGCGUCUGUCGUGAAAGCUCAUGGCUUGACUGUGGGUUUGCGGUGGGUACGGGCUGGCUUGAGUGCAGUAGGGGAGGCUGGAAUUCCUGGUGUAGCGGUGGAAUGCGCAGAUAUCAGGAGGGAUACCGGUGGCGAAGGCGGGUCUCUGGGCUGUUACUGACACUGAGGAGCGAAAGCAUGGGGAGCGAACAGG